rnacentral:lncRNA from 1 species
GUGAGAUUCAUGAAAAUAACCUAUGAAAACAAUAACAUGAUAAUCAUCAUAAAAUCAUAUACACUUUGUAACAGAACACAUGUCCUACUUUUGCACUUCAAUAAUCAGACAAUAAAUUUCUUCUUUUACCAGCCUACUAGUAUCCAUGGGGAUCCAUAGGGGGUCCUCGCUACACGUGAACCAUUAACAUUAAUAACCUGAUUCCAAGGCCGUCCCCAUACCCCGUCCGGUAUGGGCGCUAAGACCAUAAACCUCAAUACCUCGUCCGGUAUGAGGGUGAAACGGGCCGUCCCCAUACCCCGUCCGGUAUAGGCACCAAAACACAUAAGGUCUCCAUACCCCGUCCGGUAUGAGAGACCACGUUCCCAGUAGGGUUCCCUACAGACCCGGUCCGUCCACCAUCUCCCAGGAUAUCUAGUCAGGCUGUCCACAUUAUCCACUUAUCAAUUCAUAUAACCUUUUUGCCCUUUUCUUUAGUCUCAAUCAUCCAAUCAUACACAAACAUGUAAACUAG